CACGUGACAUGUCCCCGGUAACAUCGCCAUGUGCAGUAGCAAAGUUGAUUAAAGGUGAUGAUGGUGAGCUAGAAUGAUGAACGGUGAAGGUGGGUCCUUGGGUCACUCCCAACCUGGA